GGGCCCGCACAAGCGGUGGAGUAUGUGGUUUAAUUCGAUGCAAUGCGAAGAACCUUACCAGGGUUUUGACAUCCUGCGAAUCUCUUGGAAACGAGAGAGUGCCUUCGGGAACGCAGUGACAGGUGGUGCAUGGCUGUCGUCAGCUCGUGUCGUGAGAUGUUGGGUUAAGUCCCGCAACGAGCGCAACCCACGUCUUUAGUUGCCAGCAUUAGUUGGGCACUCUAGAGAGACUGCCGGUGAUAAACCGGAGAAGGUGUGGAUGACGUCAAGUCAUCAUGCCCCUUACAUCUGGGCUACACACGUACUACAAUGCUACGGACAAAGGGCAGCAAGUUCGCGAGGACAAGCAAAUCCCAUAAACGUGGCUC
rnacentral:rRNA from 1 species